GAUGAAGAACGUAGCGAAAUGCGAUAAGUAAUGUGAAUUGCAGAAUUCAGUGAAUCAUCGAAUCUUUGAACGCACCUUGCGCCUUUUGGUAUUCCGAAAGGCAUGCCUGUUUGAGUGUCAUGAAAUCUCAAUCCUCCUAGGUUUUUGACCUGGUUGGACUUGGACAUGGGCGUCUGCCAGCAAUGGCUCGCCUUAAAUGACUUAGUGGAACAUCCCACAUCAGUGUUAGACGUAAUAAGUUUCGUCUCUCCUUGUGGUGAUGACUGCUCAUAAUCUGCCAUCGCGCACUUUUGACUUUGACCUCAAAUCAGGUAGGGCUACCCGCUGAACUUAAGCAUAUCAAUAAGCGGAGA
rnacentral:misc_RNA from 1 species